rnacentral:rRNA from 1 species
CCUACGGGAGGCAGCAGUGGGGAAUAUUGGACAAUGGGGGGAACCCUGAUCCAGCCAUGCCGCGUGUGUGAAGAAGGCCCUCGGGUUGUAAAGCACUUUCAGUGAGGAAGAACGCCUGGUGGUUAAUACCCAUCAGGAAAGACAUCACUCACAGAAGAAGCACCGCCUAACUCCGUGCCAGCAGCCGCGGUAAUACGGAGGGUGCGAGCGUUAAUCGGAAUUACUGGGCGUAAAGCGCGCGUAGGUGGCUUGAUAAGCCGGUUGUGAAAGCCCCGGGCUCAACCUGGGAACGGCAUCCGGAACUGUCAAGCUAGAGUGCAGGAGAGGAAGGUAGAAUUCCCGGUGUAGCGGUGAAAUGCGUAGAGAUCGGGAGGAAUACCAGUGGCGAAGGCGGCCUUCUGGACUGACACUGACACUGAGGUGCGAAAGCGUGGGUAGCAAACAGGAUUAGAUACCCGGGUAGUC